rnacentral:lncRNA from 1 species
GCUACCAGGCUCCGGGGAACUGGCGCCCUGGUGCCCCGCCGCGGCUGUCGCCCCUGGGGACUCCAGGCACCCCGGCCGAGGACGCCCUCGAGGGAAGCCCUGGGCCGCGUCCGUCGGGGGAGGCGCGAGGAAGACCGCCUUCUGGAGUGCGGGCUCCAGCGGCCCUGUCCGCGGCCCCGAGGCACCUCUGCCGAAAUUCGGGGGCGCCGUCCAGGCCUGGGCCCGGGGUGGCAGCAGCUGUUUCCAGGCGGGGAGCAGCGGGACUCGGCGGGAGCAGAGGCCGCUGGCCUAAGACGCCUCCUCGGUGGGUGCGCUCCCUGGAUUAACAGUGGCGCUGGCUGUCACACCGGCCGUUUCCCGAGCUCAGAGCGGGACAGUGCCCUGGGUUCCUAGGGCUGCUCGGCGGCCCUUAGCUGCGGCCCGGCGGGAUUCGGAUGGCUGGAGUUCAGGUGCUGCGGACUCUUGGCCGCUCCACCUGGUUUCAUUUGGAGGCCUCGGACUCAAGCCACUUCCGCGAGGAUGCUGGCAGAAGCCGCUGCGAGCAGCAAUCAAGGGGAGGCCCGGGUCCUACAGCGCCGGGCAGAGGCUGUGCAGUCUUCAAUCCAGUGGGGGCCGCUCCGUGUCUUUUCUGCUGGCUCUUGAGGGUCGCAGCUGUGCGCAGUCUGGCUCUCUGGUUUUGCACGUGUUUUCUAUUGAAGCAGUCCGUACUGCUGGCCCGUAUGGCCUCGGCUCUGUGCGGCUCCACUCGCCUCCGGGGCAAGGGGGCAUUUUCUUGAUUGACGCCCUCCUGCGGUCGUCACACCUCGCGGUGAGCCGUUUCUGCUAAGGUCCUCCAUUAAUCAUGGAAAUGGAAAGACUUCCCUGCUUUUUCUAUUGAGACUUCUCAGGUUUUAAAGUUUAUAAUUUGGAACUAUUUGUCCAAACACAGCGGGACCACAGUAGGAAGAGGCGUGGACUGUGAGCCUGACCGCCUGUUCGAGUUUCACUUCGCACAUUUUUGUUGAGCAACUACUGUGUGCCAGCAGUGAAAAGGACAGAUGUAGUCCCUCUCCUCAUGGAGACAGGAAACAAAUUUUAAUAUAUGUAUGUGCUAGGAAGGAGAUGUACAUAAUGGUCUAAAACCUGUAACAAGGGGACAUCACCUAUCUGGGGGACAUUAAGGAAGGGAAAAGCUUCCCAAGAAUUGAUGUUUGAAAAGUGAGUGGGUGUCAGCAAGCCCAGGGUGCUUGGACAUUCCAAGUCCGGAGAAUAGCAUGUGAGCGUUGUUAGUUAAUGCAACUUCCGUCAAGUCACCAUCCCUGAGUUUUUCUCAUCUGAAACGUUUGAGACUUGGCCUAAAGGCUCCUGAUCUUUUUAGGGUAUUGUUAAUAGGUAUCUUUCAGAAUCUAAUGACAGACAAGAGCUACAAGCCCAGACAAACUCAGAAGUGUACUACACUAUCAUUCGAGUUAAAGCAUGUUGGGGGUAGGUAAGAAUAUAAUUGCUCUAUUAUACAGUACAUAUAAAUCAUAAAUUUUUAUAUUACUCCAUGAUAUAAACUAUCUCUGGAAGGAUAACGAACAUUGGCUGACUAUGAAGAAAGGGGUGGGAUUGGAGGGGGCAUGUAUAGCUGUGAAUAUCUGGAGACUUGCACUAGAUGGAUGUAUGACCUAUUCGUCGUAUAAGUAAGUCCUUGAAGAAGUGGCUGAUUCUAGAUCUAGGGCAAGAAAAGUACAAGGUAAGCUCAAAGACAUCUUGUGUCAGAAACCGUGAAAAGAAAAUAGGGACCACCUUGGAGUGGUUUCCAUCGGCAAAAUUUGGGGUGAUUUAAGCUUUAAAAAUACAUUAGGGAUUAUACCACUUUGAAUAUAACAAUUCGUGAGUCCAUAGUGGUACUCAGAGAGAGAAAGGUGCAGUGGAUGUGAAAGCUGGAAGAAUGUCAGCUAACAGAUGUAGAAAAAUUGGUACAAUCGAAAAACGUAAUAAUUCAAGAAGAAUCAUCAUCAACUAACACGUGAAAUGUUGAGGAUGAGGAUUUUCACAAGGCCUCAUAUCAUCCCAAUUAACUGGAUUCUGGAUUUUAAAAAACUAUAAAGGAGCCGGGCGCGGUGGCUUACGCCUGUAAUCCCAGCACUUUCGGAGGCAGAGGCGGACGGAUCACGAGGUCAGGAGAUCGAGACCAUCCUGGCUAACACGGUGAAACCCCGUCUCUACUAAAAAUACAAAAAAUUAGCCAGGCGUGGUGGUGGGCGCCUGUAGUCUCAGCUACUCAGGAGGCUGAGGCAGGAGAAUGGCGUGAACCCGGGAGGCGGAGCUUGCAGUGAGCCGAGAUCGCCCCACUGCACUCUAGCCUGGGUGACAGAGCCAGACUCUGUCUCAAAAAAAAAAAAAAAAAAAAAACUAUAAAAGACAUUGCUUUUUAUUGGGGGGGGGGAUAAUGGGGACAAACUAUGAAGUAUAUGUUAGUUGACAUUAUUAAUCUUUUAGAUGUGAUUGGUAUUGCAGGUUACUUUGGAAAAUGCGAUCUUGGGAGUUGCAAGCUAAAGUCUUUAGGAGUGAUGGGUCAUAUGUGCAGCUUACUUUUAAAUACUUCAGUAUAUACAUAUAUGUGCAUACACAUCUACAUGUAUAUUUAUACACACAUAUCUAUGUAUAUGUUCAUAUAUGUAUAUAUAAAGAGGGAUAUAUCACAGGUUCAGUUCUAGACCACUUCAAUAAAUAAACAUAGCAAUAAAGCAAGUCACAUGAAUUAUUUGGUUUCCCAGUGCAUGUAAAGGAGGUUAUCUUUACACUUUACUACAUUCAGUGUGCAAUGGCAUUAUGUCUUAAAAAGCAACGUACAUACCUUAAUUUAAAAAUACUUUGUUACUAAAAAAUUGCUAACGAUUGGCAGGGAGUGGUAGCUCAUGCCUGUAAUCCUAGCACUUUGGGAGGCCAAGGCUGGCGGAUCACUUGAGGUCAUGAGUUGAAGACCGGCCUGCCAAUAUGGUAAAACCCUGUAUCUACUAAAAAUACAAAAAUUAGCUGGAAAGUGCUUGAACCCGGGAGGCAGAGGUUGCAGUGAGCUGAGAUCAUGCCACUACACUACCAGCCUGGGCAAUAGAGUGAGACUCCAUCUCAAAAAAAAAAAAUUGCUGACAAUCAUCUGAGCCUUCAGCAAGUCAUAAUCUUUUUGCUUUUGAGGGGUGUUGCCUUGAUGUGGAUGAGUGCUAACUGAUCAGGGUGGGAGGCACAGAAGGUUGGGGUGGCUGUGGCAAUUCCUUAAAGACAACCAUGAAGUUUGCCACAUCUGUUGACCCCUCCGUUCAUAAAAGAUUUCUCUGUAGCAUGUGGUGAUGUUUGAUAGCAUUUUUAUCCACAGUAGAACUUUCAAAAUUGGAGUUCAUUUUCUCAAACCCUGUGCUGCUCUAUCAAGUAUGGUUGUGUAAUAGUCUCUCUUUUUUGUCCUUUUUUUUUUUUCUUUUUUCCUUUUUGUAGAGAAUGGAGUCUCGCUCCAUUCAUUGCCCAGGCAUGUCUCGAUCUACCGGGCUCAAGCUAUGCUCCUGCCUCUGCCUCCCUAAAUGUUGGGAUUACAGGCAUGAGCCAUUACAUCCAGCUAUGUAAUAUUCUAAAUCCUUUGUUGUCAUUUCAAUAAUGUUCACAGCAUAUUCACCAGAAGUAGAUUCCAUCUCAAAAAACCACUUUCUUUGCUCAUCCAUAAGAAGUAACUCCUCAUCCAUUCAAGUUGUAUCAUGAGAUUGCAGCAAUUCAGUCACAUCUUCAGGCUCCACUUCUAUUUCUCUUGCUGUUUCCAGCACAUAUGCAAUUACUUUCUCCACUGAAAUCUUGAACCCCUCAAAGUCAUCUGUGAGGGCUGGAAUCAACUUCUUCCAAACUUCUGUUAAUGAUAUUUUUACCUCCUCCCAUGAAUCAUGGCCUCUGGAAUGGUGAAUCCUUUCUGGAAGGGUUUUACUUGACUUUGCCCACAGAGGAAUCACUAUCUAUGGCAGCUAUAGCCUUACAAAAUAUAUUUCUUAAAUAAUAAGAUUUGAAAAUCAAAAUCACUCUUUGAUUCAUGGGCUGCAGAAUGGAUGUUGUGUUAGCAAGCAUGAAAACAACAUUCAUCUCUUUGUAUAUCUCCAUCAUAGCUCUUGGGUGACCAGGUGCAUUGUCAAUGAUCAGUAAUAAUUUGAAAGGCAUAUUUUUUUCCUGGGCAGUAGAUCUCAACAGUAGGCUUAAAGUGUUCAGUAAACCACACAGUAAAAUGAUGUGCUGCCAUCCAGGCUUUGUUAUUUUAUUUAUAGGGCACAGGCAGAGUAGAUGUAGCAUAGUUCUUAAGGGCCCUAGGAUUUUCAGAAUGGCCAAUAAGCAUUGCUUUAAACUUAAAUGUCAGCUGCAUUAGCACCUAACAAGAGAGUCAGACUGUCCUUUGAAACUCUGAAGCCAGCAUUGACUUCUCACUAGCUAUGAAAGUCCUAGAUGGCAUCUUCUUCCAAUAGAAGGCUUUUUGGUCUACGUGUAGAAUCAGUUUAGUGUAGCUACGUUCAUCAAUGAUCUUAGCUAGAUCUUCUGGGUAACUUGCUGCACCUUUUCUAUUAACAUUUUCUGCUUCACUUUGCACUUAUGGUGAUGGCCUCCUUCCUUAAACCUCGUGAACCAACCUCAUCUAACAUCCACCGUUUCUUCUGCAGCUUCCUCACCUUUCUCAGCCUUCAUAGAAUUGAAGAGAGUUGGGGCCUUGCUCUGGAUUAGGCUUUCGUGUAAGGGAAUGUUGUGGCUGGUUAGAUCUUCUAUCCAGACCACUUGCACUUUCUCCAGAUCAUCAAUAAGGCUGUUUCACUUUUUAGCAUUCAUUUGUUCAUUGGAGUACCACCUUAAAUUUCCUUCAAGAACUCUUCCUUUGUGUUCACAGCGCUGUCUAACUUUUAGUGGAUCUUAACUUUCUACAUGGCCUCCUUGCUGAGCUUAAUCAUUUCUGGCUUUUGAUUGAAAGAGACAUGCAAUUCUUGCUUUUCCUUGAACACUUAGGGGCUGUUGUAGGGUUAUUAAUUUGCCCAAUUUCAAUAUUGUUGUCUCUCAAGGAAUAAGGAGGCCCAAGGAGAGAAGGAAAGAGACUGGGGAACAGCCUGUGAGUAGGACAGUCAGAACACACGACAUUUAUUAAGUUAGCUGUCUUAUAUGGGUGCAGUUUGUGGUGCCCCAAAACGAUUACAAUAGUAACAUCAAAGACCACUGAUCACAGAUCAUCAUUACAGAUAUAACAAUAAAUAUUAUGAGAAUUACCCAAAUGUGACACAAAGACAUGAAGUGGGCACAUGUUCUUGGGAAAAUGGUGCCAAUAGACUUGCUUGAUGCAGGGGCGUCACAAACCUUCAAUUUGUAAAAACUGCAAUAUCUGCAAAGCACAAUGAAGUGAAGCACAAUAAAAUGAGGUAUGCCUGUAUCGAAAAUUAUUAAUUGGUGAAUUUAGGUGAAGAGUAUACAGGUGUUUGUUGUACUAUAAUUUCAGAGUAUACAAGUAUUUGUUGUACUCUAAUUUUAGCUUUUUUAUAAUUACACAUAGCAAUUAAAUUACCAUAAUUCCUGUAGAUUUGAAAGUUUUCAAUAUAAAAAUGAGAAAAAAUGAAAACACUGUUUCUUUUUUUAAUCUCAAAUUCCUUUUUACCAUACUUUUUUUGUGUGUGUGUGUGAGACGGAUUCUUGCUCUGUCGCCCAGGCUGGAGUGCA